AGUCUAUCUCCAUUGUGGCUUUUGAGUAUUCUCAACCGUCAUCCCUUAAUUCAUUGGACUGGCAGGAGACGGUCAUCAUUCCAGAUAGCCCUUCCAGAAAACACCAGAGGCUGGAUGCAAAGGCUAAGCAACUUGGGACAGUGAUCUGGCAUUAAUUUUACUGCUGCUGCAUCUAAAUCCACCGACAGCGCAGGGUCGGAGGAGACUGGGAAAAGUGGCGGCCUCCCAAGCAGAAAAAAAUCUUGUUUUCAAGAAGAGUGAAACAAGCAUCUAGGAACAUCUAGAUGCAUUCAGGACCAGCACUCAGCCCUGACCAGCACUCAGACUGAAGAAGAGUGAGCUCCACCAAAUCCUUGACCAGAACGCCAUACCAUGCAGGUCCACCUCGUCCCUUGGUGCCUUCAAUGAACUCUUCAGGGCACAUUUUGUCUUUGGUACUUAGUACAAGCCGAUGCGGCACAACAUGUAUGUAUUUACCCAGAUUACAGUGUACAUUGAUGUUCCUCAUGUAGCUGAUAUUAGGGCAAGAGUGCACUGCCAUGUCAUACAAACCUAAUGUUGUUUUAAUGUGACUUUUGAAUCAAUGAGAUGUGUACAU